rnacentral:lncRNA from 1 species
UGAGAACUUAUUUUGAGGAAUAUUCCAAUCACUUUAAAACAACCUCAAACAAUCCAUCAGAAACAACGGCAAACUGCAAAGUACAGCUGGAUAAACGUCUUCACAGUGCUCUUUGUCGAUUGCUUACCAGAGUAGGCUACUUAAUGUCUUUUCAUUUACAGUACUUCAUCUGUAAAACCGAGAAAGUCCUGUUUGCUUUUCAGGGCUGUUGUAAUGUGUAAAUGAGGCACUAGGCUGUGGCAUGGCAGCUUCUGAGGGAUACUAACUCAUCAUGUCGCUAGAGGUUGUGAAAAUUUCCAACCCUUGGGUCAAGGGCUUCGGUGUCUUUUAAUGACUACAGACACAAUUUGACUGGCCCUGACACAAACUGUCAAAGAAUAAGACAGCUUCCACAUUAUACAAGUUUGUGUAAUACAGUGAUUCAUUCUGAGGUUGGAACAAAAGAACAGUUUCAGUACGGAACCAAGUGUAGAAGCGAAAGGAAGUUUGUGCCCAAAAUAUUGACCAUCCUCUGGCUAAAUGAUGGAACCUUUGAUCUAGAAAGUGACUUACAGACUGACUCGAAGUGUGGCACAGAAGCUUUCUCUCACUGAAGAACAGUCUCUGACUAGCUGCCCCACUCCAAUACUUCCAGUAACCCAGGUCUCUAAAGUAAGCUUUUCUGAAGGGUACAUUCAACGCCGCUUGUAUUUACCAAAACAGGGAUUUCUACCUUCCAGCAGAUACUUUGAAUUUUGACAUUCAUUAGAGAACAGUGAGAUUUAUCACCCAUGAUUGUAUUCUGCCCCAUGAAACUGAUCAAACUCAUGAUUUCUGUUCAAAAUGACGCAAACAAUUUC